AAACAAAUCACGAACGAGUAGAAAAUUGGAAGAUUGUAUAAU
rnacentral:guide_RNA from 1 species